AUGGAAAUGGAACAAAACAAAGAGCCAGACAUUGAUUCCUCUCCAGCUACGGAAGUGAAAAGUUUGCAGCCGAAAAGUAAGCCUAAGAGAUACAGUGAGAUCUUCAGAGACUUUGAUAACCUUGAUUUAUCUUUAAUCUCUGCAGAAGAGGAUCUACUGGCAGAAUGUGACAGCCGGUCAAUCCCACAAUCAAUCUCUGUAGAAAGUACAGACGUCACAGAACAUCAUGAUGCGUCUGUGAGUGACCCACACCUUUUUAUGAAUGAGGAAAAUGUUUCUAAGGACAACCUAGAUGCUUUACACCUCUAUUGUGAAACAUUAUCUAUAUUGUU
rnacentral:lncRNA from 1 species